rnacentral:tmRNA from 1 species
GGGGGUGAUCCGGUUUCGACGGGACAGACCGAAGUCAGGUUGCGCGCCGUGGAUGCUCGUUGGCCACGUUAAAAAACGGGUACAAAAAGUAAUUGCGAAAGCUGAUUACGCUCUGGCCGCCUAAGUAAUGGCCGCCAUGUCGAAGCGCCGACGUCCGAUGAGCGCCUAGACAUCAUCUAUCGGGCCACGCUGCAGGGAGUUCCGCUUGCCCGCUGCAGGGUGCCGAACCAGGCGGAUGGAGACGGAUAAGCCCGCCCGCCGGCGUGCCGUCCCCGAGACAAACGGCCGGCUACGCGCGUAGAUAUUUGAUGGACGAUGCUCCGGACAGGGGUUCGACUCCCCUCACCUCCACCA